AUGAGGGUGGAUUCAGUAAUUCAUUUUCUUCCAGCACAUUGUUCUCUUUAAAUAUACCAUUUCCUGCUCUUUUCCUAGAGGACCUUAUGUGCCAUGGGCCCAAAUUGCUGAUACACUGAUUUUUUUUUUUUUUCUUGGAAGGUGCUGUGUGCUUGUGACCUUGUUACACAUCAGUGGCACUGAGCACUGCUCACCUCCUCUCAAAUGGGAACUUCAGAAAGUCAGGAGUGAGUCAACACUUCUGUGCGAGAUGCAGGAAAUACCAGGAACACAGAGAUGGGGGAAGAGCUCCUGCCUAAACCCACGAUGUGGUGGAAUGACUGAUGGCAUUCUGCUUUCUUUGGGGCUUUUGGUUCGUCAUUGGAGACUGCAAACAUUGAAGAGUAGUAGCCAUCUCUUUGCUUUGUGUUGCACUGGCUGCAAAUUCGCUCUAGGACUCAUUGCAUUAUAAUACACAUAAACCCAAGACUGGAAAUCCUUCCUAACUUGCAGGGAAUCCAGAUGAAAACAUUUUUGACAUUUGAGGACAACAUGCAUGAAAGGUUUUAUGCUACAAAAUAUUGAGAUAAGCAGGGAAGAACUUCCUUGUGCGAACCAUGGGAGUUCCUCGCAUUAGUCACACUAAUAAAUAAUAGACUGUACCUACUGAGCUUCCCUUUGAAACAGACCUCCUUGUGUUCAAGGAAACUGUCUUCCAUCUUGUAAAUCCCCAAGGACUUCACAACAAUAUAAAGCACCAGUGAAAAGCAGCUACCUCUAGGGCAGAAAGUGGUGACCAGCUGUCUCCCAGCAAAGUACAUAGCAGCAAAAUGAGAAGGAAAAGUAAUUUUGGCCAAGUAAACGGGAUUAUAAAUUAAAAGCCACAGAGAGUUGAGAAGCAGCCUGGGAGAUGAAGAGCUUAUGGAAAUGAGCACUCCUCCUCCUCCUCAUGCGGACUGCUAAUCCUGAUUCAACAAGAUUUUUAAUUCCUCCUCCGUGGCUGUGCAAACAAUUUGCUGAUCCCCGAGAGUUGCUCCAAUCCAAGGCUGGAGUAACUCUCAGGUGCAGCUGUGAACAGGAUUUUGGUUAAAGUCAAGUUCAUAAAUAUUUGCCUAAUAAACCAGACUCUUUAAGUGCCAAAUAAAACAAACCCUGGCUGGGAAGGUAGGGGAAGGCAGAAGGAGGGAGAGAAAAACACCUCGAAGUUUUUAAAUGCUCAUUUAAAUACUUUUCGGUAGUGCUGAUAUUUUAUGUAACACUGGCCUUAUUUAUGUAUUUAUGUAUUUUGCUUUGAUGGGGGAUUAUUUUUCUCACUGCAGUCUUCUUUUGAUUGAUACAGUGUGCCUGCUCACUUUCAGAUAUGGUUGGAGAAGAAGCAGCAUAAGUUGGGUGACUGUAUUUAAAAUGGGUAAUACAGAAUGGUUUUAAACUUUAAUAUUUCAUAUAGACAUUUAGUUUUACAAGUAAUUUAUUUUGUGAGAUGCAAGUUUCUGCCUGGACAGUGGUGAUUUUGGGUAACUUGAUAUUCAUUUCCCACCUCUGCAUAUUAAUAUUAUUUGAACUGUGUGGUUUCCAAAUACCUUAUCACUGUUGGAUUCUUUAAUAACCAUGAAGGAAAUAAAGUGAAC